rnacentral:piRNA from 1 species
UGGGAUUACAGGAAUGUGCCAUAAUGCUAU